CGUAAAACCAAACUCAGUCAGUCACUCAUGGAACAAUACGUUUUCUAUGUACAAAUGAGUAGAAAAUAUACAUGGACAGGUUCUCAAUUUCUUUAGGAUUUGAACUGUUUAGCAGUAGUGAAAACUUAAGCCUGUUUGGAUGGACAUAAUAUUUUUCUCUUAUACAUUUG